rnacentral:rRNA from 1 species
CGUAUCACCCAAGACAACUUUGCGGAGUUGACGAUUGACGGAGCGAAGCGACGUCAAAGCGUUCAUUAAAGUCGAGUUGGCUUAGGGAUACGUUCGUUGGGUAGGGGAGCGUUCUGUAAGCCUGUGAAGGUAUGCUGUGAGGCAUGCUGGAGGUAUCAGAAGUGCGAAUGCUGACAUAAGUAACGAUAAAGCGGGUGAAAAGCCCGCUCGCCGGAAGACCAAGGGUUCCUGUCCAACGUUAAUCGGGGCAGGGUGAGUCGACCCCUAAGGCGAGGCCGAAAGGCGUAGUCGAUGGGAAACGGGUUAAUAUUCCCGUACUUGGUGUUACUGCGAAGGGGGGACGGAGAAGGCUAUGUUGGCCGGGCGACGGUUGUCCCGGUUUAAGCGUGUAGGUGUGUGUUCCAGGUAAAUCCGGUUCACUUUAACACUGAGGCGUGACGACGAGGCACUACGGUGCUGAAGCAACAAAUGCCCUGCUUCCAGGAAAAGCCUCUAAGCAUCAGGUAACAUCAAAUCGUACCCCAAACCGACACAGGUGGUCAGGUAGAGAAUACCAAGGCGCUUGAGAGAACUCGGGUGAAGGAACUAGGCAAAAUGGUGCCGUAACUUCGGGAGAAGGCACGCUGACACGUAGGUGAAGUGAUUUACUCAUGGAGCUGAAGUCAGUCGAAGAUACCAGCUGGCUGCAACUGUUUAUUAAAAACACAGCACUGUGCAAACACGAAAGUGGACGUAUACGGUGUGACGCCUGCCCGGUGCCGGAAGGUUAAUUGAUGGGGUCAGCGCAAGCGAAGCUCCUGAUCGAAGCCCCGGUAAACGGCGGCCGUAACUAUAACGGUCCUAAGGUAGCGAAAUUCCUUGUCGGGUAAGUUCCGACCUGCACGAAUGGCGUAAUGAUGGCCAGGCUGUCUCCACCCGAGACUCAGUGAAAUUGAACUCGCUGUGAAGAUGCAGUGUACCCGCGGCAAGACGGAAAGACCCCGUGAACCUUUACUAUAGCUUGACACUGAACAUUGAGCCUUGAUGUGUAG